rnacentral:rRNA from 1 species
UACAGAGGGGGCAAGCGUUAUUCGGAAUUACUGGGCGUAAAGGGCUCGUAGGUGGCCAACUAAGUCAGACGUGAAAUCCCUCGGCUUAACCGGGGAACUGCGUCUGAUACUGGAUGGCUUGAGUUCGGGAGAGGGAUGCGGAAUUCCAGGUGAGCGGUGAAAUGCGUAGAUAUCUGGAGGAACACCGGUGGCGAAGGCGGCAUCCUGGACCGACACUGACGCUGAGGAGCGAAAGCCAGGGGA